UUUAUUUAUAAGAAAUGAUGUUGUGAGCAACUUCAAGCAUAUCCUUGGAUAUGCAGUAUGACAGCAUAGAUGACUCAGAGAAUUGUCUGAACAUAUUUUCUGCAGCAUGUGAGGAAGUCCGAAGAUACAGGGGUAUUCAUACUGAAUGUAAUUCCUUUGGGAUACUUAAAUAUUUCACUGCAUACAGUUCCAGGUACAAUUUUUGGUCAAUGAAAAAAUAUAUUACAUAAUCCUAUUACACUUUGUGGAAACAUCCUGAUUUUCUUUCUGCAUUUCAUGACCACAUUAUACACGUAAAUGCCUAGAAAAUUGCACGCUGACCAGGAUAUUCAUCCAACUUCUUUCAUAUACUCAGGGUGCAGUAUUUAAAUGAAACAAAUAUUAUUUAGUAAAUACAUAUCAGACCUAAGAGUAAUUAGAUAUGCAAACCACAAGUGCAUGGAGAACCCAGCUUUAGAAAUACUAAUGAACAAAUGCCUCUGUCAACAUAUACAAUAUAAUCAGGUGCUAUGUAUAAAAAUGUGUUUUUUUUUUAAACUACUGUUUUUUAAAUUUUAAAUCAGAAAAGUAGGUAACUAACCAAAUAAUGUGUUUGGUUCUUUGAGAGUAUAAAAGUAAUUUUGAGGACUAAGUUUGAUUAAAAUAAAAUGUUUGCAUGGUCAAAAGUCAAGGGUUUACAUAACUGAAAAUGAUACCAGAAUCUUUGUAAUUAAAAUCAGUGUAGCUAGACAUCAGGUUUGUAGAAGUAUAUACAUGGCUUAAGGUUACAGUGAUAUCUAAGAUGGACUUUUAUUGUACUUUAAGCCCCCGAACUUUCAAGAAGGUAAAGAAUUAUGAUGAAAAUGGGUUAAGAUGUUUUUUAAAACAGAAACGACAUCUCUUGCUUUCAAUGUUUUGUCUUCCUAAAGGAUUCCUUCUUGGAUAAAAUUUAAUUAUUUGAUAUUUUAGAAUUUUUAUAUGUCAAAAAUGUCACAAGCUUGUUAGUCCUUUACUGACAAACAGUGUUUAAAGUCAGUCUUUGCACUUUUAACACACACUUAACUUCUUUAGAGACAAUAUUUAAAAUAGAAAAUACUCCAUAAAUUUAAAUCCUUCCUAAAAGCGAUAGCACACCAUUAAAAAAAGUUAUUUAAAUUGAGAAAAUGCCUAAGAAACUUUGUUCCAAAAGUUUUGUAGAAAAUUAUAAAUAUCUUGAUCAGAAUAACUCUUCAACUAAAAUUAUAAAUUAGUGACAAGGCUAUAAAAAUGCAAAUCAAUUAUAUUAGUUUAUUUGAUGUUUUGAAAUACGUAUAGAAAUGAGUAUUACUAUUAUUAGUAUAUAUGUUUAUUCCUAUAUUUGAACUUAAAAAAUUAUAGUGCUGCAUGAGUUAUAAAAUAGUAUUUUUACUAAAUAUCAGUUUAGUUCAGUAUCUUCAAAAAAUCUGUAUUCAUAGAACUUAUAGCAGAGAAAGAAAUAAUGAAUAUAUGAAGCAUCUUCAUCUCUAUGCAGAUGAAGAAGCGUAUGUUCUUGUCCUUGAUUUAACAUUCACAGAAAAUCAACAAACUUAAAGAGUAAUACGAAAAAGUAUUUGUGUCAGCACUUUUAGAGUAAUCAUGUAUUUCAAUAUAGCAGUACACAGUUUAAUGAGAAUGCCUUCAAAAUAAAUCAAAGCACUGGUGUUCUUUUUCAAAGGGUCACUCAUCAGUGAAAUGUUCCAAAGAAAAGUAAUUCCUGACAAACAAUAUUCUGAUCUUCAAAGAAGAAUGAAAUGUGAACAUAGGAAGCUUUAUCUAGUGUUUCUACUUAAUAAUACAUUUACAAUUAGCAAUAUGUACACAGUUAAUAAAUUCUAGGCUGAAGCACAAGUUCAGAACCUGAAAUCUGUUGACUCUAAACAAAGCAGCUUUUGAUUUACUACUCAGUUGAAAGAGAUUGUUGUAAACAAUCUACAAAGUGUCCAAGGUUAUCUUUUUUCUUCAUUUAUUUGUAAUUUUGUUUUUAUAUUUAUGAAGGAAGCCAAUUCUCAGUAAAUAAAAAUGAAUGGAAAACAAAUAUUGCAAGACUCAUCUGGGAAUAGUGUGUUAUCUUCAUCUCCCAAAUUCUUUCUCAGAUUUAUUUGCCUUUUGGGGGCUGCUGCUUUCUUAUUUCCUUUAAUACAUGCAUUGACUAAUGCAAUUUCUCUCCCUCUCAGAUAUGGCAGGAAAUUUAGUGUGUUUUGAUAAUAAGUCAGUAGACACCCAAGCUCAAAUCCCCACAAGCUUACUUCUGACAUUCUUUAAUAUUACUAUGAUUUAUCAAGGAUUUCCACAGUUUCCUCCUGGCUCUUCUAAAAUAUAUUUUAAAUGGUUUAACAAUAAAUCUGAUUUGUGUCUGUCUAAUUUGACACACGUUUUGACACAGUCAAUUGUCACCACGCUGCAUGACAACAGAAGUUUAUGAACUGUUUGAACUUCAUUCUGUAUGAUAAAAAUAACAUUAUUUCAGAACUAGGAUUGCAAGCAACGAUUAACUGAUUAAAGAUUCUAAUUUAUAGUUAAUUACCUCUUAAACAAUGCUACACCAUCUUAAAAAUCAUUUACUUAUAUUCCUGGCAGAAUUUCACUGUCAGGCUGAAGAUCUCCUGCAUAGUCAAAUUGGCCAAAAAGAAUUAAAAUAUUGUAUUUAACACUGAGAAUAUGUUAUUUGAUUAAUAAAUAUAUAGUGAAAAUAACUGAAAUACAUCUUAGAAAAUUAUUACAUUGAAAAUAUUAAAUAAUAAAAUAUGUAUGGAAUGUAGCUGUACAAGCAAAAUAUCUAGCAAGGUGUUACCUACAAACUUCAUGCUCCACUGAUUUGAAAUGUGACUGUGAAUCUUUAGAGCUGGGUUUAAAAAUUAUCAUUUAAUGAGACUUUAAAACUAAUUCACAUAAUCCUCAGAGAAAAUAUUGUUCAACAAUCCAAAGAACCAUUAGUAUUUUUUUUCAAAGCUCAUAUUAAUUCCAGCUUCAAAAAAAGCUUUUAUGACACCAAGAUAAAAAAAAUACAAAUACAGUCAUCAAUCACUGCAUAAUUACAAGAAGUCUUUUCUUAAAAUCAUGGCAGAAGUACCUCACGAGUGCUUAUUUCAUAUUCAUCUACUAAGAUGAAUGUUUCUUUCCAGUUCCUAGCCCAGGUGUGUCCAACCCUUGGCCCAUGGGACAUAUGUGGUCCAGCACAGCUCAUGCUGCAGCCACCCCCUGCCCCAGUUUUCUACUGCAAUUUGAGAACAGAGCUCAAGACUGGUGAAAAAAAAUGAUCUAUUUUUUUGCAUAUUUAUGAUUCUAUUUCCAGUUAACAUGUACUACUUGCAAAUUUUCAGAUGAAACAUACAGAGUUGCAAUCAGAUUUUCAACUCAAAGAAAAAUGUGAUGAUGUCUCAUUACCAAACUUUAUAAGCCCCCUCUUACCAGAGAAAAAUUACCCUCGUUUCACAAUCUUAUUGGCUUAUACACCUCAUUCAUGUCAUCACUGUUUCACAGUAUGUACAUUUAUGAACAACUGUUUUCAUGGAUGAAGCACAGGAAGAGUAAAGUUUCAUCAAAAAUCUCUGAGGAAUAACUUGAGAGCUCACUAAGAAUUGCAGCUACUGCCAUCGAACCUGCCUGAUGCAUUAGUUUCACAAAAGCAAGAUAAAAUAUCGUACUAGUUUUAUACUUUUGUUGCUCCUUUUUUUUUUUUUUUUUUGAAAUAAAAUUUUAAGGUUAAAAUAAUGUUUGUUAUUUGUAUACAUUAAAUACAUAUUUUAUGAAGGCUGCUCAAAGUGAUGUCUUCUUUGUUUUUGUAUUGGCCCACAACAUCAGAGGCAGAUAUUGGUGGUAUGCAGUAGAGGUUGAACCUUGUCACCAGUAUUCCCUUUCAUUUUGCUGUCAUGGCAGCAGAGCGGCAGUCUGACAGUACAGUAUCUGACAUGGAAAUGCAUUUGGACCUAAAGGUUUGGAAAUGAAUUCCUCCAUGUGGAAAAAAAUCGCAUGCAUUGACAUUCACUGACACUCACUAAACAUUCAUGGAGACCAUGCAGUGGAUAUGAGCACAGUGAGGGGGUGGGUAGUGUGUUUCAGCAGUAGUGACAGUGGGUCAACUCUGCUGGUACAAAUUUUUAUAAGUGUGGCAUGCAGGCUCUUCAUUGCUGGCAAAAAUGAAUAGCUACUGGUGUUGAUUAUGAUGAAAAUGGUAUUCUGGACCCGAGAAUAUGCUCUUUUAAAUAGUGUUAUUGUGCUGUUUAUACCUGCUGUAGUUUCCAUGGAAAUAAAUACUUUUGAUGUAAGAUACAUAUAUGCGACCCUAGACAAUUCCUCUUCACUCAGUGUGGCCCAGGCAAGCCAAAAGGUUGCACAUCCAUGUCCUAGCUAGAGCCAAUAUCCACAAAAGAGGCUCAAACAAAUGUGUUAUAAAGAUCAGAUCCUGAAAAUCCUUCAGAAAGUCCCCCAGACCAUUUUUAUUUUUCUCAUACACCAUAAGUAGUGUGAGAGCAGAGAUAGCAUAACAAUAAUGCUUGCCUUGCCUCUGAACACGGUGCAUCCAAGAGCAGUAUCAGGAUUAGAAAACUUCACUAAUGCCACUAAGCUCUGCCCAGAGCCUUUGGAUCCCAUUGAAGCAGCGUUGUCUUCCAGAUACAGAGCUGCUCUGGGUAAGGAAUAUAAAGCCUUACCCAGAAUAAGUAUUCAGUAUGCUGAAAUAGAAAAUCCAAGUUGUUCUGUGUCCCCCUGGGCUGUGGCCAGUAAAGCAGCAGCAGCUGCACAUCAUGUGUUCACUGUUGUGUGAGAUGGUUCACAAAGAUGCCCACAUACAAACACUAGCCUCCCACUGGUCUCAGAUGCCCAGUCUAGGCUUUUGAUCAGGCAGGGUCUACACUGGAGUCAGCUUUGGCUAGAAAAAUGUACUGCAGUUCAUUCUGAAACACUCACCUCAUACACAGAGCAUAGUCUACAUCUCCUACUACUGCAGUUAAUGGGCUCCUUCAAAAAGAUGCAGAACUGCAAUUUCAAGUUUAUUUCAUCUUUUUUUUAUCAUUGAGACUCCAGACUUCCUAACAUUUCUGCUAGUGUGCUUUUCCACUCUACCCAGAACUGUUUACUGAAACAAUCUCAUGGCAAAAGGCUGCAAAGGGAUGAAGCUGCCAAAGGACACAAACAGUGAGUUCCAAAGAAUGGCCAAUGAGUUAGUGCAUCAGCAAACUGUAGGUGGCUAACAGUGAAUCCUGUUUUAUAUCUUCAGAUUCUAGGAAAUGUUAAUGUAUUUGCCCCCCUUUUUCUCUGCUGGCUCAUCUGGAGGAGAAUUUUAAACCAAGCACGUAGGUACUGUGAGCAAUUUUCAGCUUCAUGUCCCAAUCAAUGGAUAAGCAACAGCUGUCACUUAUCAAGCUCAUUUCCAUUAACAAUGUCUCAGGCUGGCAAACUUCUCUGAAUUUCUUACCUCCUUUUCCAGAGAAGUAUGGGGAGACUAAAUCAAGCCUUAAGGUAGGGUCAGCAGAUAGAAAUGAAUUUCUGCUGCUCACACACCUGAAUUAUCAAUCUGGAGAAAAGAAGACUGAGGAGGAAUCUGAUUAACGUUCAUAAACAUCUACAGGGAGUUGAGAGGCAAACAGAUGAGCUCAGGCUUUUUUUAGUGGUGUAUAGUGAUAGGACAAGGAGCAACGGCCUAAAACUUCAGUGAAGGAAGUUCCAUACUAACAUGCAGAAGAACCUCCUUACAGUAAGAGUGACAGAGCACUGAAACAGGUUGUGCAGUCUUCUAUGGAUAUAUACAUGACCCAUCUAGACUCACCUGUUAGACCUAUUGUAGGGAACCUGCUUAGCAGGGUGGUUGGGCUUGAUGACCUCUUGAGGUCCCUUCCAAACCCUGCAAUUAUGUGACUUCAGAGUGACAGACAAAGCCAAAAAGGCAGAAGACAUCUGCCAUGGAGAAGAGUUUGCAAAUAAAUGGAUAAAUAAUGAGGCUAACAUUACUUUACCAAUGCUUCUUAUGAACGUAUUAGACCCAAACCAAAAGAUUACUUCUUCAAUUUGUUUAGAUUUCAUUAGACUAUCAGGCUGCAACACUGGAAUCAACAGGGUAGAAAGGAAACUUUUUUUUUUCCUGAGUAGACAAUUUCAUGACAAGAAAACAUUUUGCAUUUAUUGUUGAAGUGCAGUCUUUUCAAAGCCUGAAGAGCUCCUCUCAAUUAGAUAAACAUUAUUGAAUUGCUUGACUACAGAAGGCCAUGUCAGCAUAAAAGUGACCCCAGAAUAUUUACUUCAGGGAACCUUGAAGGAGUAAAGCAGCUUGAUAUUGCUGCUUUUUCAAUUUCAUUCUGGCAUUUAAUGCAUUUGUUGUCACGUUUCCCUACAGCUUAGCACUACAUAUAUGUUGAAAUACUGAUAAAACAACAGAAGUGUUUGGCCUUUUGAAGACUUCAAACAUUUCUGAGAGGUUUUGUGUUUUUGUCUCCCCUUGGCUGAGAAUUUAUUCUUGCUUCCUAUGAGGGGAAGACCAGAAAAGAAAAUUUAUGGUCAGUAAGACAUUCCAAGGUGUGAGGGACAUCCUUUGUACUAGGAAGAAGGGAAAGUACAUAGAAUGACUAUUAUGAAAGUGAGAGAUUAUUUUUAGAAGCAACUGAUGAAUAGUGAUGAACAAUCUGGACAUUGCAUGACCUGGCUGAAUCUAUGUAAAACAGCUCAUGGAAGGGAAUGAGAGAGACAACUAUUUGAAAGAGGUGAAAAGGGAACACAAUUCAUGCUGCAUGCAAAGAAGACCAGAACAAAUUAAGGAUUUAUUGAAGGGAACAGUGCUCUUAGUAUUUGAAUUUAGUGCAUGAUACAGCUUGACAAGCUGGCACGUGAUGGCAAACUAAGAGAGACAUGCUUUCACUUUAAGUUCAACCUGUAUAAAUGUUUCUGUGACAAGUGACAUUCAAAAUUCAUUGCUGCAAUGGAAAACUCACUGAAGUUAGCAAAUAAACCAGCAUACUGGAAAAAUCUGUCUUUUUUUUUUUUUUUUUUUUCCAGUUAAGUGUACAAAAUCCUAUAUAAAUUCUAACCCUUCUCAACUUGCGACCAUCCUAAAAGAGUCUAACUUUUGAAAAGCAGUUCUCUUCAGAUAGUGAUGUGUGAGGGAAGGUAAGAGAAAAUGAGAUAUAAAGCAUAAUACAUGGUUGUGUUCUAGCACCUUCUUGAUACCAGAAAGCCUUGCUUGGUUGCAUAGGCAAAAGUAGUACAAACUUCUCAUAUCACAGGUGUUAGUCAUUGGGGCCAAUAAAAUCACAUUUAUGUCCUGUCUGGUGCCGAAUUGUAAUAAAGUGCUGUACUUUGCUGCUUACAAAGUUAGGAAGACUCUUGAAUAACUGAUUAAAAUCUAAAUGACAGCUAUGACUGCCAUAUCAUUGGAAAAAUAGCAAGUACAGUCACUGAUGUUUUUGACAACAGUUCUUACACCCAGAAUAUAAACAGAAGUUGUUUGACCACACUGCAAACUGAAAUCCAGAUCAAAGAUGUCAUUUUCCUAACAAAAAAGUUCUUCAUCUGCUGCUGGUUGUCUCAAAAAAAUGAAAUGUCAUCCCACAAAACAGUACAGCUCUUUUCCAGAAGAGAGCCAUGAUGUAAUCACAGACACCUGUGAACCACCCCAUAUAACUAGGAAAAGGUAGCUGCUUUGCCACUAAGUCUUCAGCACUCUUCCAUAAAUUUAGAAGAGUGCAUAUUGUGCAUGUAUAUGUCUGGGGUUCAGGGGGAAAGAGUGCCUCUAGUUACUAAGAACAUUGACUAAAGCAUCCUUUUCUUAGCUUUUUCGUUGAGGAUUUACACAGAAAUGAUGUCUGUUAUUUGGAGAACUGAGGCUUUCUCUUCACAUGUAAUAUGCUGUAGGCUUGAGUAGUAAGUAUAACAAGGAUGCAGUUGGCCUUCCAGGCAGUAAGUGCACACUACUGGCUCACGUUAAGUUUUUCUUCUGCCAGGACCCCUAGAUACUUCUCAACAUGUCUGCUUUCCAGGAGUUCUUCUCCUGGUCUGUACAUAUAUAUGGGAUUGCCCUGACCCAAGUGCAACAUCUUGUACUUGGCCUUGUUGAAUCUCACUAGUUUCUCAUGAGCCCACUUCUCUAGCUUGUUCAAGUCCCUUUGGAUAGCAUCCCUUCCUUCCAUUGCAUCAUCUGCACCACUCAGCUAGGUACAGGGUUCUGAAGGAGCUGGCUGAGGUGGUUGCCGAGCCGCUCUCCAUCAUAUUUGAGAAGUCGUGGCUGUCAGGCAAGGUCUCAGAUGACUGGAGGAAGAGUUACGUCACUUCCAUUCACAAGAAAGGGAACGAGGAGGACCCAGGGAACUACAGGCCAGUGAGUCUCACCUCUGUGCCUGGGAAGAUCAUGGAACAGAUCCUCCUGGACAACAUGCUCAAUCACAUGAGGAAUGAGCAUGUGAUCCCCGACAGCCAGCACGGCUUCGCCAGGGGGAGGUCAUGCUUAACCAAUCUUGUGGCCUUCUAUGAUGGAGUGACGGCUUUGGUGGAUGAGGGGAAGGAGACCAAUGUCAUUUACCUGGACUUGACCAAGGCCUUUGACAUGGUUCACCACCACAUCCUUUUCUCCAAAUUGGAGGGAUGUAGAUUUGAUGGGUGGACCACUUGUUGGAUAAGAAAUCCCUCCAUCAUGAGAGGGGCGGCCAGCAGGAACAGGGAGGUGAUUGUCCCUCUCUACUCUGCUCUUGUGAGGCCCCAUCUUGAGUACUGUGCCCAGGUAUGGAGCCUCCAGUACAAGAAAGAGAGAGAGCUGUUGAAGAGGGUCCAGAGGAGGGCCACAGAGAUGAUCAGGUGGCUGGAGCACCUCCCCUUCAAGGACAGGCUGAGGGAGCUGGGCUUAUUCAGCCUGGAGAAGAGAAGGCUGCAGGGUGACCGCAUUGCAGCCUUUCAAUACCUGAAGGGAACCUAUAAACAGGAAGGGAGUAAACUCUUUGAAAGGGUAGAUAACAGCAGGACAAGUGGGAAUGGUUUUAAGUUGAAAGAGGGAAGAUUUAGGUUGGAUGUUAGGGGGAAGUUUUUUACCAAGAGAGUGGUGAGGUGCUGGAACGGGCUGCCCAGAGAGGUUGUGGAUGCCCUGCUCCUGGAGGUGUUCAAGGCCAUGUUGGAUGGGGCCCUGGGCAACCUGGUCUAGUAAACGGGGAGGUUGGUGGCCCUGCCUGGCAGGGGGGUUGGAGCUUCAUGUUCCUUGAGGUCCCUUCCAACCCAGGCCAUUCUGUGAUUCUGUGACUAUGUCAAAGGCCUUGCUCAAGUCCAGGUAGACAACAUCAGUUGUCCUUCCUUUGUUCACCAAUGUUGUCAUCUCACAGAAGGAUCUUCUCCAUGGUCUUUUCAGGCUCAUAUUUCAGGCUCACUGGCCUGUAGUUUCCUGGUUCUUCCUUUCUUAAAAAUGGGAGUGAUAUUUCCCUUUUUGAACAGUUGAACUGUUAGGAUAACUUGAACUGUUAGGAUAGAGCUUCUAGUUACUUUCUGGUGAAUUACUUGGAACAGAACUCGGGCUCCUUUCAUUUUUGAAUCUCACAAAUUUAAAGAUUUAUUUUUUGAGAUAUCAUUUGUUGUUAAUUUUUUUUUUGUCAGAGUCUUUCCUGUCUUUUGCAGAUCCAAUCUAUCCAAUUAGCACACUAAGUUUAGCAAUCAGUAUGCAGAAAAUAUGUUACAUACCUGUAGCCUCCAGAGGUAUAUUUGUCAAAGAAUUAUGCACAAUUACAUGUUUUUUCACAGAGCUUUUUCAUGAAAAGCUCUCAAGAUGCCAUUGGUGCACAAAUGCCUUAGGUUUAAUAUUUAGAAAAGCAAACAUCUCAAGAAAAAAACAAAUGAGGACAUAAUGCUUUAGAGAAGAAUAUGCUAAAAUGAAAAGAAUCAGCAAAAGAAUAAUUCAAGAUUUUAACAGCCACCAAAAAUUUCUAGGCAUAAUUUUCCUUGGUAAGAGGGAAGAAAUGUCACAGAACCAGACUAAAUUAAGUGCUAGGUUUUUUUGUUUGUUUGUUUUGUCCACAUGAAACAUUCACAAAAGAGCAGUUAAGAUUUCACACAAGACAUAUUUACUUAUUUUGUCUGAAAACUAUCUGUUAACAUCAUCCCUUUAACUACUUUGCAAAACUUAGAGUGAUUUUUUUCUUACUUUAGUGUUCAAACAGUCUUGAUGCAUAACUUGGUUCCAAAAUAAAUGCUGAUAUGAGCAAUGAAAUUAACAAGACCAGAUUUGGGAGCUAGGGGCAUGAAAGAAGAAAUAAUUGAAUGACUGGCAUUGCUUACAUUUGUUCUCCAUAACAGAAUGUAACAUGCUAAUUAACCAGGAAGACACAUUAUCAGUAAUAUAAGUGUAGAUAGCUGUCUUUGGAAAUGUAAGCUGAAUUGAGAUAAUAGAAAUUACUAAGAGUAGCUACUUUGUUCUAUUUUGCAAUAGGACAAAAGAUACUAACUUCAUAAGAGUAAUAUUUUCCCAUCACUGUUAAAAAGUCAAAGACAUUAUGGUGCUUUUAUAGCUUUUUCAAAUGCCUCUUACAUUUAUUUUUUGAUAUACCUAAGUGAACAGUAUGGCAACUAAGGUGGCACCAAGAAAAUUAAUUCUGAGAAUACUAAGGUUCCCUCUUAUCAAUUCCCACCCUUUCUGAUGUAUUUAAAGCACAGAAAGAAUAGAUUCAAGAUUUUGGGUACUAAUAUGAUCUGAGGAUUAGGACUUCUUCCCCCAUUUUCUUGAAGUUUUAUCAACAGAUGCAUAUAUAUUUGUGGAAGAAAUGUAUAUUUGUAUUUAUUUUUAAGUUGUGAUACAGUAAUAUAUUCUAACUUUCCAAAGUAUUUCAUAACAUAGAAAAGAUGUCUAGUAUACAUCUGCUCAGUUCUGUUUGUAGCAAUGAGUCCUAAGGAUUUUUGAAGCAUUAUGUUACAAAGUGUUUUCCACUGUCAGUUUAAAUUUCUUUUUUCUUUUUCUUUCUUUUUCUUUUUUUUUUUUUUAAUGGAUGUUUUUAAAGCUCUGAUCAGAGGUUAAAUAGCAUAAAUAGAAAAAUCUAUUUUUCUUAGUCCUUGUUGUAUGCUUAUUGCUUCCAUUAUUUAUAUUGGUUCUAACUCAAAGCAUUAUAAUCAUUUUAUUUUUUCCUCAGAGCAGAUUUUGUAUUCUUUUAAUACUUUUUCUUAUGAUCCCAUGUGUGUUUAUUUUUUUUGACAGGGAUCAGUAUUUCAUUAGUAAUAUGGAAUGAAAAGGGCAGGCAGAAAAAGAGCUCUUCAUUGAUCAUAUCAAGAGGCCGGAGUCAUUCUGAGAAGUUCGGAUUUACCUGGGAAGAACUUGUUCGCCCAUCCACCCUCUCUCCUGAGAUGUUGGUAAUAUAAACAACUUCAGCUCUUUCUAGAGCUUUCUAAAGCUUUCUUUCUAAACCUUUUUUCCCCUUUCCUCCACUUUAACUCAUCAUUCUGGAGUCAGUACUGAUCAACAUCUUUUAUAUUUUAACUGUUUUGUACUAAGAGAAGUUUCAGUACAGUUCGUGCUGGUGAUUGAGAUAUUGUUUAUGCAGCUCCGUUACAAUUUUCAAGAGAAAAAUAUGCAUAUAAAAGAUAGAAAGAGUUAACAAAAAAAAACUCCCACGCCCUAGUUGAAUAGCCUAUCUUUAGAAUUUAAGAAGUAGAAAUUCUCUCUCUUAUCUAUGCAAAUACCACUGUGUUGAGAGGAAGGACAUAUGGUAGGUUCAAGCUCUACUUGCAUGCACCAACAUAGCCAAUUGUAAACAUUGGCUGUUUGGAUUCCAGAUCCAAAUUUUUGAUGUGAUUGCUGGAAUGUAUCUUCUCUAGAAGAAAUAAUGUCUAUUAAACAAAUACUGAUAGCAGCUGCAGUUCUUAAAACAAUUUAUAAAGUCAACAAGGCUAAUGUGAGAGUGCAGACCCAACAAAAUGGUUGACACAGACCGAUCUGCUGCAAUUAGCACAGCACAAUAGUUCAGCAGAGUCUGUGCCAAAUUUCCUUCAGGUAUCUGGAAAAUUCAUGCAGUGCAAUUUCAGAGUCAUCUGGCCCAAUGUUUUCAGUCCUUUAAACUUAUAAAAGUGUUUCCUAAAAGCUAUUGUAAGCCUAUACUCCAUUCCUCUGCCAAUAUAGCUGUUCAGUGAAUGCUUUUUUCUUAUUAUGCUUUCUUUUUCCUUUCUUUCUAGCCCUUUUGUCUCUUUUACCUGUACCUACAUAUAGACUGAAGAAAAUGAACCAGCAGUCAUUCUAUUAAUUAGUACUUCUAAGUCUUAUAAAUAAAAAAAUAGACUAAGAUCUACCUACUGAAGAAUCAUUUGAGUUUCCAGCCCUCCAGUUACUAGUAAAGGUUGCAUAUUUACUUCCUCUGAGAUUAUCUUCCAAACUAAAUCUAAAUUGGUUCUUCUGAAGUAACUGUUGACUUUCAGAAUAAUAUACUGUCAGUUUUCAUGGGUUUACUAGGUUUCUGUACAAGUAUUACAUAUGAUGCUGAAAGUGGCGAAUGUGAAUACGAGAGUAGUUUUUCUUAGGCAUUAGAAUUCUUUCUGGGCAUAUCUUUUACAAAGAUUAGGACCAGUUUUGAGACAAAAUUGUCCACUUUAUUUAAAUAAUAAAAAACCCUUCCAAAAAUACAAAAAAAAAAUCCUCUAUAAAUUAAAAACAUAACAUAUUGAUCACAACAAAAUAAAUAUAUACAGAACCAACAAUAAUGGGCAGGUAACUUGCAUUAUAAUCACUUGUGCAAGUCACAUGCAACAUAUUGAAGUAGAUGUUUAAGUCUCCUAGUUAAUGAAUGAGAAAAGUUAGGCAAUUCAAAAUAGCAUUCACCACACCUCAUAUUCUUGGAAUAAUGUACCUCAAAAAAAAGUAAUAAGAAAUCUCUAAAAGAGAAGCAAAUCUUACAUCUUCCCUGUCUCUUGAACUUUUGCUAUUAAGGAGCAUUCUGAAUUAUGUCUCUCUUGUCAAAGUAUUUUUUUCUUAUGUGUUAAAAUACUUGGAAAAGAAAUCUGAAAUAAAGGAAUUGAUUGUGCCCAUUUUUUGUGCUUUAUCCAGAUGUAUAAAAUCUGCAGAUUUGCUUUCCUUCUGAUCUCAAAAUCAGAUCACCGGCUUUGAGUGAAAAAUUCUUAUCUGUUCUUGAUUCCUGGAUGGAGAAAUAUAAGUGAGAGUUUACCAAACCAUGCUCUUUCAUGUGUGUAUUCACGUAUGUGAGCACACAGGUAGUAUUAUGGGGAAUGUUAGGUAUUUAAUUAUCCUUUUCCAUCCUACAGAUUCUAUCACAAGGCUCAUGGAAAACUAAUGAUGUAGUCAGGCAGUUGGGCAAGAUGAUCUCUGAAGGUUCUUACCAACUGUUCUAUUCUCUUCUAGUAUUUUCAGAACUAGCCUAAUAUGUAAAGGACAAAGUUUUUCAUCUAACUGUCCCUGUUGUCACUGUGAGGUGCUUUGGGAUAAGAUUUAGGUCAUUUAAUUUGUUAUACUGAAAAAUAUUUAGGUGAAAGUCAGUGUCUAGAUAUUCAGUUUUCCUAUGUGGUCAGGCCUCUGUAUGAGAAACAUAAUCAAGUUUAAUGUAUUUAUGAAAAACUGUUAAAUCAUGGUGUACAGUUAAUAAGUAUACAGAUGCUAUACAGUAUACAAAGAAGUUAGGCUGAUAAGAUUACUGCAGAGGAAAAGAUAAUCAGAUAUAAAUGAAAGAUACUCACUGGUGUUGUAGGCUCACAAAAACUCCCCAAGGAGCAAUCUCCAGGAAAAAAUCCUUCUUUAGUGGCAGUCAGCCCUUACAUGGGGUUUAGGAGAGGUGGAGCCUGGCUCCAUCCCUUCCGGUCACACAGACAAAUUGCCUUCAUCUGUGCUCCUGUGACUGACUCAGUGCUUGCCUCAGGUGGUCAAUCAGAGAUUCAGACCGUAAUUCAACAGUUCCCAUACACGUGGCUUACAGUAAUCCCAGUCUCACCUUCAACUCUGUAAGCUG
ensembl:lncRNA